GAUGAACGCUGGCGGCGUGCCUAAUACAUGCAAGUCGAGCGAACAGACGAGGAGCUUGCUCCUCUGACGUUAGCGGCGGACGGGUGAGUAACACGUGGAUAACCUACCUAUAAGACUGGGAUAACUUCGGGAAACCGGAGCUAAUACCGGAUAAUAUAUUGAACCGCAUGGUUCAAUAGUGAAAGACGGUUUUGCUGUCACUUAUAGAUGGAUCCGCGCCGCAUUAGCUAGUUGGUAAGGUAACGGCUUACCAAGGCAACGAUGCGUAGCCGACCUGAGAGGGUGAUCAGCCACACUGGAACUGAGACACGGUCCAGACUCCUACGGGAGGCAGCAGUAGGGAAUCUUCCGCAAUGGGCGAAAGCCUGACGGAGCAACGCCGCGUGAGUGAUGAAGGUCUUCGGAUCGUAAAACUCUGUUGUUAGGGAAGAACAAAUGUGUAAGUAACUAUGCACGUCUUGACGGUACCUAAUCAGAAAGCCACGGCUAACUACGUG
rnacentral:rRNA from 1 species